AUGUUGAAGUUAAAAGAAAUGGAGGAGAGGGGGGUAGAGCAAUGGAGGGCUGCGGCCGAGGAGAAGAGGGCGGUGGAUGAGGAGAGGUUGGCGGCAGUUGGGGAGAGAAAGGUGGUGGUCAAAGAGCUCAAGAUGGUGGAGGACAAGGCACUCAAGUUUAUGUUCAUGGACACAAGUGGCUUCGACCCCAAAGCAAAGGCAUAUGUCGAGCUUUGUUGCGAUGAAAUGAUCAUGAAGAAGCAAAUGCUCAUGAACAUGAUGGGAGGUGCCAUGGGUGGUGCCUUUGGUGGAAAUAUGGGUGGUGCCUUUGGUGGAAACAUGGGAUGUCGCUUCAGUGGCAACAUGGAUGGUGGCUUCGGUGGCAUGGGAGGUGGGUUCGCUGGAAAUAUUGGUGGCAUGGGAGGUGGCUUCGGUGGCAACAUGAGUGGCAUGGGAGGUGGCUUCGAUGGCAACACGAGUGGCAUUGGGGGUGCUUCCGGUGGAGGUGGCGGCAUCGAUGCAUCAACGCAUGAAAACAUCAACAAAGAAGCCAUUGAUUAUGAUGAUGAUGCCAAUGUCCACAAUGUGAUAAGUGACAAUGGAGAGGAUGAAAAUUGA
rnacentral:rRNA from 1 species